AUGGCCGUCGACUCCCUGGGGUGGCGGGUUGGGAACCGCGCUGCGCGCACCGACGGUCUGUCCGUCGCGUCUGCAUGGCCCGCGCCGCCCUCCGCGGUUGCGCCGCCGUCCGUACACCGUCGCGGCUGCGCCAUAGAGUCCUGGCCUGGGCAGCGUGGUCAGCUGGAGCAGCAGCGCGAUCAGCAUGGCCCCACCAACAUGCGUGGCCGCGCCAGAAAAGGGAGGCGCAAAAGAAAGCCAAAGCAAGCUUUGGCAGUGGCCCAGGCGGGCAGGGCCUCUGUUGCUGCAGGAGAUGACGGAGAUGCGCGAAGGACGCCUGUCGGUGGCCCCCUGCCUGGCCCCUCGGCUGCUCCAAUCCCCAGCGUGGAGCCAGGCCACGGACCAAGUGGCACGCCCCCAUUCGCGGAGAACACUUCGGAAGGAUCCCGAGAUUUGAAUCUCACACCAUCGGAUGCCCCCGAGGAGGAUUGUAUGGGCCCUGGUUCUGAUGCUCCUGAUCCGAGGAAUUGUCGGGAUCUGCCCGAUAUGCGCGUGGGACCAACCUCACAGCCUGUGCCGGCCUGCUUGUCGGGGCAAAGCGGCGUCUCGCCUGCACCCCCACCUGACGACGACCCUAUCCCCGCUGACCGGUCCUUCGGGCCCCAUGCGCGCGUCGUGGGUGGAGGAGAGGAGCGCCCCACCUCGUUCCCCCAGGCCAAGGCCUCUCUACCGCCCCAGGCCCAGCCCAUUGAGGACACUGGGCUCUCGCCCCAGGUGACUAUUCUGCAGAGGCCACAAAGCCCGAUCACCGCAACGGGACUCAACUUGGAGGCCCGCACGCCUGCGAGGGCCCAACUGGGGACGAAUCUGCCUGCUGCCGAGCGCUUCGCAUCCCCGCCGAUCACCAUGCGCCGUUCCCGCGCCCGUCCCGCUGCGCCAAGCUCCCUAACGUUGGGGGAAUUUCUGGCCGCAUGGUGGGAACAUGUAGGCAUUUGUACCCUUUCUGAAGGGAACUAUACCCAAGAAAAACACACUUUUUCGACCAAAACUCUAGCUUAUGUUUGUUAUAUGGACGCAAAUGAGGCCAACAUGCACACCCGAAGACUUUGA
rnacentral:rRNA from 1 species